rnacentral:rRNA from 1 species
UACGUAGGUGGCAAGCGUUGUCCGGAAUUAUUGGGCGUAAAGCGCGCGCAGGCGGUCCUUUAAGUCUGAUGUGAAAGCCCACGGCUCAACCGUGGAGGGUCAUUGGAAACUGGGGGACUUGAGUGCAGGAGAGAAAAGUGGAAUUCCACGUGUAGCGGUGAAAUGCGUAGAGAUGUGGAGGAACACCAGUGGCGAAGGCGACUCUUUGGUCUGUAACUGACGCUGAGGCGCGAAAGCGUGGGGAGCAAACAGG